rnacentral:rRNA from 1 species
UGCUCGUACUCUCCGAAAUUCAUUUAGGUGCAGCCUCUGUUGUUUUGUUCUAGAGGUAGAGCUACUGAUUGGAUGCGAGGGCUUCACCGCCUAUCAAAUCCGGCCAAACUCCGAAUGCUAGAACAUGAAGACAGGGAGUGAGCCAGCGGGUGCUAAGGUCCGUUGACGAAAGAGGGAGAACUCAGACCAUCAGCUAAGGUCCCCAAUUAUAUGCUAAGUUGGAAUAAAAACGGGGUGGGACUGCUUAGACAGCUAGGAUGUUGGCUUGGAAGCAGCCAUUCAUUUAAAGAGUGCGUAACAGCUCACUAGUCGAGCGGUCCUGCAUGGAUAAUACGCGGGCAUAAGCAUAUAACCGAAGCUAUGGGAUUGUAGAUGAUACAAUCGGUAGGAGAGCAUUCCAUUCAGCAUAGAAGCAGUACCGUGAGGUAUUGUGGAGCGGAUGGAAAAGCAAAUGUAGGCAUAAGUAACGAUAAUGCGGGUGAGAACCCCGCACGCCGAAAGAUCAAGGAUUCCCCGGCAAUGUCAAUCAUCCGGGGGUAAGUCGGAUCCUAAGGGUAAGCCGAGUGGCGAUCCCGAUGGCAAACAGGUUAAUAUUCCUGUACUGAUCAUAACUGCGAUGCAGCGACGCAGAGGUGACACUGCUGCGUACUGACGGAAUAGUACGUUGAAACCCGUAUUCUUUGAUACCGGUAGUGAAGCACGCCGGUAGAGAUGAAAGGUGAUAGUACCGCAAUGCUUCGGUUGCGCGGAUAAUGCAGGUAAGCUGACUGCCAAGAAAACCUGCUAAGCUUCAGGUAAUGAUCAUCCGUACUGUAAACGGACACACGUGAUCAGGUAGAAAAUACUAAGGCGCUCGAGAGAUUCAUGGUUAAGGAACUAGGCAAAAUGGUCCUGUAACUUCGGGAUAAAGGACGCUCUUGUGAAAGAGCCGCAGAUAAUAGGCCCAGGCGACUGUUUACCAAAAACACAUGGCUAUGCUAAUUCGCAAGAAGAUGUAUAUGGCCUGACACCUGCCCGGUGCCGGAAGGUUAAGAGGAGAGCUCAGAUGUAAGUCGAAGGUUUGAAUUGAAGCCCCGGUAAACGGCGGCCGUAACUAUAACGGUCCUAAGGUAGCGAAAUUCCUUGUCGGGUAAGUUCCGACCUGCACGAAUGGUGUAACGAUCUGGGUACUGUCUCAACCAUGAGCUCGGUGAAAUUGUAGUUCCGGUGAAGAUGCCGGAUACCCGCAACGGGACGGAAAGACCCCGUGAACCUUUACUGCAGCUUUGCAUUGAUUUUGGGUAACAGAUGUGUAGGAUAGGUCGGAGGCUUUGAUGCUGCGUCGUCAGGCGUAGAGUAGCCGUCGUUGAAAUACGACCCUUUUGUUAUCUGAGGUCUAAUCCCGUUAGGGAGACAUUGCAUGGUGGGUAGUUUGACUGGGGUGGUCGCCUCCAAAAGUGUAACGGAGGCUUCUCAAGGUACCCUCAAGGCGUUUGGUAAUCGUCUGCAGAGUGCAAUGGCAUAAGGGUGCUUGACUGUGAGACCGACACGUCGAUCAGGUUGGAAACAAGAGCAUAGUGAUCCGGUGGUUCCGCAUGGAAGGGCCAUCGCUCAAAGGAUAAAAGGUACUCCGGGGAUAACAGGCUGAUCGCUCCCAAGAGCUCAUAUCGACGGAGCGGUUUGGCACCUCGAUGUC